UACGUAGGUGGCGAGCGUUGUCCGGAUUUACUGGGCGUAAAGGGCGUGCAGGCGGUUUGUUAAGUCUAGGGUGAAAGCUCCCGGCUCAACUGGGAGAGGUCCUUGGAUACUGACAGACUUGAGGGAGGCAGAGGAGAAUGGAAUUCCCGGUGUAGUGGUGAUAUGCGUAGAUAUCGAGAGGAACACCUGCGGCGAAGGCGGGUAGCUGGGCCGACACUGACGCUGAGGCGCGAAAGCCAGGGGAGCGAACAGG
rnacentral:rRNA from 1 species